GCGAACGGCGGGGCAUCAGCCGCGUGAAUACGGAUGGGGCAAGCGUUAAUCGGAAGUACGGGGCGGAAAGAGUGGGCAGGCGGGUUAGUAAGUCAGAUGUGAAAUCCCUAGGCUCAACCUAGGAACUGCAUUUGAAACUAAUAAACUAGAGUAUCGUAGAGGGAGGUAGAAUUCCAGGUGUAGCGGUGAAAUGCGUAGAUAUCUGGAGGAAUACCAGUGGCGAAGGCGACCUCCUGGACGAAAACUGACGCUCAAGCACGAAAGCAUGGGGAGCAAACAGGAUUAGAUACCCCGGUAGUC
rnacentral:rRNA from 1 species